rnacentral:rRNA from 1 species
GAUGAACGCUAGCGGCAGGCUUAAUACAUGCAAGUCGAACGGUAACAGGUCUUCGGACGCUGACGAGUGGCGCACGGGUGAGGAACACAUACACAAUCUGCCUUAUACUGGAGAAUAGCCCCGGGAAACUGGGAUUAAUACUCCAUAGUCUUUAAUGAUCACAUGAGAAAUAAAGUAAAGCUUCGGCGGUAUAAGAUGAGUGUGCGUCCCAUUAGAUUGUUGGUGAGGUAACGGCUCACCAAGUCGACGAUGGGUAGCUGGCGUGAGAGCGCGACCAGCCACACUGGCACUGAGACACGGGCCAGACUCCUACGGGAGGCAGCAGUAGGGAAUAUUGGUCAAUGGACGAAAGUCUGAACCAGCCAUGCCGCGUGGAGGAUGACUGCCCUCUGGGUUGUAAACUCCUUUUAUAUGGGAAGAAACCUCUGGAUUCACUCCAGAGCUGACGGUAUCAUAUGAAUAAGCACCGG